ACGCUCGACACCUACGGGAGCAGCAGUGAGGAAUAUUGGUCAAUGGACGCAAGUCUGAACCAGCCAUGCCGCGUGCAGGAUGACGGCUCUAUGAGUUGUAAACUGCUUUUGUACGAGGGUAAACGCAGAUACGUGUAUCUGUCUGAAAGUAUCGUACGAAUAAGGAUCGGCUAACUCCGUGCCAACAGCCGCGGUAAUCUGAGCGGGCUGGCAAGGC
rnacentral:rRNA from 1 species